GAUUUCUGGUACAAUGCACCUGGCCCGCGGCCUAUUAGGCUUGUGAGUGCCGGCGCGCGUUUACCAUCCUUCUAGAAAACAGGCCUGCCCUUUACUGGGUUGGGUUUGCGAUCUAGAUCUUUUACUUUGAAAAAAUUAGAGUGUUUAAAGCAGGCUUUUGCUAUGAAUACAUUAGCAUGGAAUAAUAAUCUAGGACUUCGGUUCUAUUUUGUUGGUUUCGAGAGCUGAAGUAAUGAUUGAUAGGGAUAGUUGGGGGUGCUAGUAUUCAGAGGCCAGAGGUGAAAUUCUUGGAUUCUCUGAAGACUAACUUAUGCGAAAGCAUU
rnacentral:rRNA from 1 species